UGAGGAAUAUCGGGCAAUGCCCGCAAGGGUGACCCAGCAACGCCGCGUGGAGGAUGAAUGUCGUAAGAUUGUAAACUCCUGUUAGAGGGGAAGAAUAGUACCGGUUGGACCGGUAUAUGACUGUACCCUCAGAGAAAGCCCCGGCUAACUACGUGCCAGCAGCCGCGGUAAUACGUAGGGGGCAAGCGUUGUCCGGAUUUACUAGGUGUAAAGGGCGCGCAGGCGGGAUAAAAAGUCAGUGGUGAAAUCCUACAGCUUAACUGUAGAACUGCCUUUGAUACUUUUAUUCUUGAGUUCGGGAGAGAGAGACGGAAUUCCAGGUGUAGUGGUGAAAUACGUAGAUAUCUGGAAGAACACCAGUUGCGAAGGCGGUCUCUUGGUCCGACACUGACGCUGAGGCGCGAAAGCGUGGGGAGCAAACA
rnacentral:rRNA from 1 species